rnacentral:tRNA from 1 species
GGGCCGUUAGCUCAGUUGGCAGAGCAGCUGACUCUUAAUCAGCGGGUCCGGGGUUCGAGUCCCCGACGGCCCACCA